rnacentral:rRNA from 1 species
GACGUAGGGCGCGAGCGUUGUCCGGAUUUAUUGGGCGUAAAGAGCUCGUAGGCGGCUUGUCGCGUCGACUGUGAAAACCCGAGGCUCAACUUCGGGCUUGCAGUCGAUACGGGCAGGCUAGAGUUCGGUAGGGGAGACUGGAAUUCCUGGUGUAGCGGUGAAAUGCGCAGAUAUCAGGAGGAACACCGGUGGCGAAGGCGGGUCUCUGGGCCGUAACUGACGCUGAGGAGCGAAAGCGUGGGGAGCGAACAGG